AAAUUGAAGAGUUUGAUCAUGGCUCAGAUUGAACGCUGGCGGCAGGCCUAACACAUGCAAGUCGAACGGUAACAGGAAGCAGCUUGCUGCUUCGCUGACGAGUGGCGGACGGGUGAGUAAUGUCUGGGAAACUGCCUGAUGGAGGGGGAUAACUACUGGAAACGGUAGCUAAUACCGCAUAAUGUCGCAAGACCAAAGAGGGGGACCUUCGGGCCUCUUGCCAUCGGAUGUGCCCAGAUGGGAUUAGCUUGUUGGUGGGGUAACGGCUCACCAAGGCGACGAUCCCUAGCUGGUCUGAGAGGAU
rnacentral:rRNA from 1 species